UUUGAAAUCUGGCCCUUCCGGGUCCGAGUUGUACUUUGCAGAGGAUGCUUCUGGCAAGGCACCGCCCAAGUCCCCUGGAACGGGGCGCCGGAGAGGGUGAGAGCCCCGUACGGUCGGCUGCCGAGCCUGCGUGAAGCUCCUUCGACGAGUCGAGUAGUUUGGGAAUGCUGCUCUAAGUGGGAGGUAGACCCCUUCUAAAGCUAAAUACCGGCCAGAGACCGAUAGCGCACAAGUAGAGUGAUCGAAAGAUGAAAAGCACUUUGAAAAGAGGGUUAAACAGCACGUGAAAUUGUUGAGAGGGAAGCGCUUGCGAUCAGACGUGCGCCGGGGUGCUCCGUGGGCGUUCUCGCCCGCGUACUCGCCCCGGCGCAGGCCAGCGUCGGUUCGGACGGGGGGAUAAAGGCGCCUGGGACGUGGCUCCCUCGGGAGUGUUAUAGCCAGGCGUGUCAUGCCCCCGGCCGGACCGAGGUACGCGUUCUGCAAGGACGCUGGCGUAAUGGUCCCCAGCGGCCCGUCUUGAAACACGGACCAAGGAGUCGAGGUUUUGCGCGAGUGUUUGGGUGGCAAACCCGCACGCGUAAUGAAAGUGAACGUUGGUGGGAGCUUCGGCGCACCACCGACCGAUCCUGAAGUUUACGGAUGGAUUUGAGUACGAGCGCAAGGCCUCGGACCCGAAAGAUGGUGAACUAUGCUUGGAUAGGGUGAAGCCAGAGGAAACUCUGGUGGAGGCUCGCAGCGGUUCUGACGUGCAAAUCGAUCGUCAAAUCUGAGCAUGGGGGCGAAAGACUAAUCGAACCGUCUAGUAGCUGGUUACUGCCGAAGUUUCCCUCAGGAUAGCAGUGUUGAUCUCAGUUUUAUGAGGUAAAGCGAAUGAUUAGGGACUCGGGGGCGCUCUUCAGCCUUCAUCCAUUCUCAAACUUUAAAUAUGUAAGAAGCCCUUGUUGCUUAGUUGAACGUGGGCCUUCGAAUGCACCAACACUAGUGGGCCAUUUUUGGUAAGCAGAACUGGCGAUGUGGGAUGAACCAUACGGGGGGUUAAGGUGCCAGAGUGGACGCUCAUCAGACACCACAAAAGGCGUUAGCACAUCUUGACAGCAGGACGGUGGCCAUGGAAGUCGGAAUCCGCUAAGGACUGUGUAACAACUCACCUGCCGAAUGUGCUAGCCCUGAAAAUGGAUGGCGCUCAAGCGUCCCACCC
rnacentral:rRNA from 1 species